AAGAAAUGCUGAAAUUUGGAAGAAACAAAUUGUUUCACAUAUCGGUGGCUCCAAACCUAACUCCAGAAGAAGGGCUGAAAUGAUGGCUGAGACUGGACAAAAGCCUGGACGAGGACAACUUUAUCUCGCUACACAUAGGAAUGAAGAUGGAUCAUAUGUUAAUGAGGCGGCAAAAGAGAUAUGUG